ACUCGCCACCUUUCCACCCACCGAUGGAUCGCUAACUUCCUGUGUUGCAAUUUCCAAAAAUUUUUCUGGAUAAACUCCAAGGUCACUAAAUUUAUGAAGACCCAGAAUGUGAUCUUCCUCAUAACCACUCUCCUUUUGGAAUUGCACAAGCCUAGUGCAUCGAGUGAGGAUAAAGAGAAGUCGGGUAUGCGCUUGUUUGAGGAUCCCCAUUGGCAGCUCGUGACGCUUAUCACCUAGAUUCUGGACAAUGGCCUCGCAUUUGGUCCAGAAAUCAUUAGGUGGCAUUUUUGAACAUUGCCG
rnacentral:misc_RNA from 1 species